rnacentral:misc_RNA from 1 species
AAGUCGUAACAAGGUUUCCGUAGGUGAACCUGCGGAAGGAUCAUCAAUAGUUCCAAUACCUAAAUAUACCUUCUUGUGAACUGUGGACUUGUUGUUAGUACGGUUGGGGAAGAUUUGUUGUUGUUGUUUAUUUUACCGUUGUAAUGACGGUGAUGAUAUAAUGACAGCUGCUUCCUCACCGUCAUGUUUAUCAUGAACUCUGUUUAUAUAUUAUUCAGUCUGACAUGUAAAGUUAUAUAUAUUAUAAUUAAUAUAAUAAAUACAACUUGCAGCGAUGGAUCUCUAGGCUCUG